CCUACGGGUGGCAGCAGUGAGGAAUAUUGGUCAAUGGGCGGGAGCCUGAACCAGCCAAGUCGCGUGAGGGACGACGGUCCUAUGGAUUGUAAACCUCUUUUGUCGGGGAACAAAGGCGCCCACGGGUGGGCGGAUGAGUGUACCCGAAGAAAAAGCAUCGGCUAACUCCGUGCCAGCCGCCGCGGUAAUACGGAGGUGGCAAGCGUUAUCCGGAUUUACUGGGUGUAAAGGGCGUGUAGGCGGGGACGCAAGUCAGAUGUGAAAACCACGGGCUCAACCUGUGGCCUGCAUUUGAAACUGUGUUUCUUGAGUACUGGAGAGGCAGACGGAAUUCCUAGUGUAGCGGUGAAAUGCGUAGAUAUUAGGAGGAACACCAGUGGCGAAGGCGGUCUGCUGGACAGCAACUGACGCUGAGGCGCGAAAGCGUGGGGAGCAAACAGGAUUAGAUACCCCUGUAGUC
rnacentral:rRNA from 1 species